rnacentral:rRNA from 1 species
ACGAACGCUGGCGGCGUGCCUAAUACAUGCAAGUCGAGCGAGCUUGCCUAGAUGAAUUUGGUGCUUGCACCAGAUGAAACUAGAUACAAGCGAGCGGCGGACGGGUGAGUAACACGUGGGUAACCUGCCCAAGAGACUGGGAUAACACCUGGAAACAGAUGCUAAUACCGGAUAACAACACUAGACGCAUGUCUAGAGUUUAAAAGAUGGUUCUGCUAUCACUCUUGGAUGGACCUGCGGUGCAUUAGCUAGUUGGUAAGGUAACGGCUUACCAAGGCAAUGAUGCAUAGCCGAGUUGAGAGACUGAUCGGCCACAUUGGGACUGAGACACGGCCCAAACUCCUACGGGAGGCAGCAGUAGGGAAUCUUCCACAAUGGACGCAAGUCUGAUGGAGCAACGCCGCGUGAGUGAAGAAGGGUUUCGGCUCGUAAAGCUCUGUUGGUAGUGAAGAAAGAUAGAGGUAGUAACUGGCCUUUAUUUGACGGUAAUUACUUAGAAAGUCACGGCUAACUACGUGCCAGCAGCCG